GUCACAGGCUCAGUUCACCCUAUCACGGAGACCUUUACUGUCUUGGUGCGCAUCCUCCAACACCAGCUACCAAGUCCAGUGUACAUGGCGUUUGGCUCUGCACUUACCCGUCCAUUCUCACAUGAUAAUCCGACACGAAUGUCGCAUUGUUACCGCACGGACAUAACAGGGCUUGAUGGUGUCCAUCUGUGGAAUCAGAAUCUUUUUAAGACUUAGCAGCGGGUGAAAAGAGGUGCCAGUGAGCGAUGCAAUCUUUUUAAGAGGUGUCACUCGAAACUGUGCGCAGUCAGUGUAGUAAUUAAACGCAGUACCUGUGUUGUCAGUCUCAAGGUUACGGCAGGCCAUAGUUCCCCAUCACGCUAAAACCAUCGCCCUUUCUUCGUAGCUUUAAGUUCCAUCACUAAUCGUUCCCUCUGAGCCUCAACUUCUGCAUACUGCAAGCUCAUGUUGAGUAGCCGCUCC
rnacentral:lncRNA from 1 species